GCAAGGUGGAUCUUCAUGACAGAUGAUGAAUUAGGUUUAUUUAUAUGAAGUUUUCCAUUAGGGGAGAGUUUUGGGUUGCCAGUUCAGAAUCCACCAACAUUCAGGCCAUUUUGAACAUCUUGGCCAUCAAAAGGUAUUGCCAUCUGUGCAGAAUACAGGAAUGAGCCUCCCUUCAACACAUUAUAGAGAGAUUUUAGCACCAGAUCUAAUUCAUUGGACAAUGUCUGCACUACAGCUGCCAGACUGAGUUGACUCAUACAUACCUGACUCUAUAUGGGUUGACAAAGCAAUGUUCUUGGGUGACAUCCACCAGCUCUCUCAGGCAACAAGAUCUUCUAAUGUUUGAAGAAGAAGAAGGGCAGCAAGUCAUGUUCAACAAUGCUGCAGGAGUGUUGGGACUCAAGACUGUGGCAGGUUUUGAACUGAUAACCCAAGGGAUGUCAGAUGGAGAUCCAGAUAAAGGAAGGAGCUGCAAAGGGACCAAAAGACACCAGCCAAGGAAGUCUCUGUGCACCAACAGACCAGAGUAGGAGGGCAUGGUGUUUGCUUCAGUUUCCUCACCCAGGUGGCCUUUGAGAACCGAACAGUCAUCAGAAGAUUAAUCUUACAAACCAUGCUGCAUCAUUCAACUCCUCAAGAAGCAAGAAGGUUUAUGAGACAGAAACUUCUCUACUGUUGACCCCAGGUUGUGGACUAUCCUCCCAACUGAAAUCUGCACUGCUUCUCUUCUGCUGACCUUCCAUAAGCAAAUAAAAAUAUUAUUCACCUGUGCUUUCAGGUCUAAUUAACAAGAGCCAAGUGGUUAAACUUGCUGCUUUUUGCCACUGCUUCUCCUGUAUCUGUGCACGUGGAUACAAAAUUGAACUUCUUUAACCAUAUUACUUUUAUAUGACUUUGUGCAUAGUGGUGGUGAUGGUGGUGGUGGUUUACAUUGUGGUUUUAAUGCUUUCUAACUGUUUUCACUACAUUUGAAAGCCACCUCUGCAAAACCACCUUUCUCAGAUGAAAGGAAUUAUAUUAAACUGGAUUAAUACGUAAGGAAAUAAAACUUGCUACUCGAGUACACAAGCACUUUGGAUUGGCUGUACUGGCUGCUGGCCAUCCACUGACAAAAGUAUUUGGUUGCACAGUUCUUGCAGACAGGUCUGCUGGAACAAAUGCUUAGGAUUAGAAUGUGAUUGCUCCCAUAGAAUAAAGAAUACAAAUAGGCAUAGUGAUUUUUCUUUUGUUCAGCUUAUCAGGCUUCCCCCUCCAACGUAACUCAAUUCUAAAUUGUUAAAAACAGAUUUUCUGCCAUAUGUAAUAUAUACUGCAUGUAUGCACUAGUGGUGGAGGAAUUAGUGGUGGAGGAAUUAGCAGAGCUCAGAACUGACACAUGGCUUUGCCAUGAAAUGGUGCACACAUCAAAAUAAUCCAGCUAAAUCCCUCUUGCUCAGCUGUCAUGCUCUUUCUGUGGGUAUUUAAAGGUCAAUACAUGUUGGGAAGAUGGAUGCCGUCUUUUGAAAUAUCUUGUACAACAUCUUUUAUUUGUAACUUAUAACUACUUCAAAUGUACAGUGCUGACCUUUAUAACUACACUAUGUGUUUUCCUAAGCCCAGCAUGUCACUGAAGCUUUAUCCCUGGCCCUGGUGAUGAGAUGCUUGGAAAUGGACAGAGGGAAUGCACCAUGUUGAUACUAUUAGCAAACUGAGCAGCUUGUAACUCUCUAGGCCAUAAAAAGCUGUUAGUAAAAGCAUCUGUGGGAGCUAUCAAGUGUUUGUUUGUGGGCCCAUUCUCUACUGAUUCUGCUCAUCCUUGGCAAAAUGGUUGAAGAGGAUGCCUUGGGUGUCAUCUUAUUAUCUCCUUGGUUUCUUCCCUGGUGGCCCCUACCAAGUUCCAUGUUCUCCUUCCUCAAUAUGCUAGUUAUAAUUUGUUUAUCCCAAGGCUAACCUAAUUUAGACUGAAAUUAUGUCAAUAAAUGGGUGCUAUACAUCUA